rnacentral:rRNA from 1 species
UACGGAGGGGGCUAGCGUUGUUCGGAAUUACUGGGCGUAAAGCGCACGUAGGCGGCUUUGUAAGUUAGAGGUGAAAGCCCAGGGCUUAACCCUGGAAUUGCCUUUAAGACUGCAUCGCUAGAAUCGUGGAGAGGUCAGUGGAAUUCCGAGUGUAGAGGUGAAAUUCGUAGAUAUUCGGAAGAACACCAGUGGCGAAGGCGGCUGACUGGACAUGUAUUGACGCUGAGGUGCGAAAGCGUGGGGAGCAAACAGG